rfam:Bombyx mori DNA, contig: Bm_scaf1_contig378, strain: p50T/Dazao, build 2, whole genome shotgun sequence.
UUAACUCAAAUUUGUAUGGUGUUGGAACAGCUUCCCUUCGUAAGCCGCUAGGGGCGCUCUGCCAACUCCAUACAAAUUUGAGUUA